GUUAUAAGGAAGACUUCCCGUUGAUUCUAAGUUGCAGGCAGAGAAGAUGCAGAAGAAUAAGAAUGAAGAAGAAAAAGAAGAAAGUGUGUGAAGGAAAAAAGAGUGGUGAGGCCUAUCAGAUUAUUUUCCUGGAGCUAAUAAGACAAGGUUGGCCAUGUCUUUGGCAAUGUGGCAGUUAUUCAUUUUGGUGGGAGGCUGGGGGAUAAAGGAUAAAGAAUGCAAGGAGACAAUUUGGAUUUAUUGAGUAACACAGCCAUUUCAAAGAACGAGGCUUCUCUGGGGCUGGAAACUGGGUGAAGAAAUUAGAAUGCCAGUAAGAGUCACUUUACCUAACUGGCUACUUGUAGUGCUUCUCUCUUUGCUAUCUGUGUCCUCUUAAUUUGGUAAAAUUUUGGAAUUUUACCAAAUACUGUCAUGUAUAUUAUGUGAUUUGAUUAUUACAAAAG
rnacentral:lncRNA from 1 species